GACAGAGGGUGCAAACGUUGCUCGGAAUCACUGGGCGUAAAGGGCGCGUAGGCGGACAGUUAAGUUGGGGGUGAAAGCCCGGGGCUCAACCUCGGAAUUGCCUUCAAUACUGGCUGUCUUGAGUGUGAGAGAGGUGUGUGGAACUCCGAGUGUAGAGGUGAAAUUCGUAGAUAUUCGGAAGAACACCAGUGGCGAAGGCGACACACUGGCUCACUACUGACGCUGAGGCGCGAAAGCGUGGGGAGCAAACAGG
rnacentral:rRNA from 1 species